GUUGGGUGCAGCGGGGAGCCCGGGGCUGGGCCGGCGGUGCUGUGGCCGCGACGCUCCCCCCGCUGCACGGGGCCGGGCCCGUCCCCUCCCACCGCAGCCCCGUGCGUGGAGCCAAGUUCAAACCGCCAGCCCUGGCGGAGCGGGACGCGACGUGGGGCCAACCUGGGGGCCCCCAACGCCUGCGGGGCUCCAUGCUUCUCCCCAGGGCUCUCUCCUGUGCUGUGCUGCUGCUGCUGCUCGCCACCGUGCUGGGCAGGGGCUGGAGGUGCAGCAUCGCCAGGAUCCUGCGGCAGUACCGAGCUGUCAUCUUCCACGAGAUCCAGAACCUGAAAAACCUGAGUGGGUCGGCAGAGAGGAGCAGUCGGGCUGGGCCAGUGUGCCGCUCUGACAAGGACCAGAGGAUCCUGCAGUCCAUCUACAACAUCAGCAUGUCUCUGCGGGACGUGGCGGGCGGUGCUCUGCGGGGCCCUGAGGAGGCAGCAGUGUGGAAGGUGGUCCGGGACACGGAGUUUGUGCUCAGGGAGAAUUGCCGGCGUAUUGGCAAGAGCCCCCCGCGCCCCUCACAGCAGCCACAGCGCAGGAGGCAGCAGCUGAAGGAGAUCUCACGGAAGGCACAGAGGCUGGCCACGUGCUGGGAGAAGCUCAACGUGUUGCACGCGGCCCCCCGGGACUCAUAGGGGACACCCCAACACCUCAUCCUCCAUCUGGGUUCAUGGCUGCUGGCAUCCUGCAUCGAACCCUGAGGUGAAUCGAAUCCCACAGCUGGCUCAGCAGAUACGGGCAGGUGCCCAGGUUGGCCCUCCUGGCCCAUAUGGUACCCAUGGACCACAUGUGGGGCACAACCCGAAACCUGGGGAAGAAGGGAUGAAGUGCAGAAAACUGAGAUGCAGUGAUUUCUGUGCUGCUCCUCACCCUGCAUCCCCUCCCCCUGCUGCCCUGUGAGGACACCAGCUGCUUUCCUGGGCAGAAAGAGGACAAUGUGAGCCACUGGGCUGAGAGUUCUGCUGGCACCGGAGUGCUGUGUAUCCGUGGGCAGAAGGAUGUGCAUCCCUAGUGAGUGUGGCUCUGGGACUGGGAGAGCUGCCCUGGGUCCCUGGCUGUGUGAUGGGGACCUGGGGGGUGCAGUGGGAUAAACAUCUGGGGAAUGGAGGGUCAGUGUGAGCACAGCUGGGAGGAACCCUUAGGGGAAGUGCAGCCCUAAAGGCUGUGCCCCAUCCCUUGGUUGGAGUAUGGGCUGUGCGAGACCAGAAAUAAAUUCUCUCCUGGCUCUGCA
rnacentral:lncRNA from 1 species